AUUGAACGCUGGCGGCAGGCUUAACACAUGCAAGUCGAGCGGAGAGAGGUAGCUUGCUACUGAUCUUAGCGGCGGACGGGUGAGUAAUGCUUAGGAAUCUGCCUAUUAGUGGGGGACAACAUUUCGAAAGGAAUGCUAAUACCGCAUACGUCCUACGGGAGAAAGCAGGGGAUCUUCGGACCUUGCGCUAAUAGAUGAGCCUAAGUCGGAUUAGCUAGUUGGUGGGGUAAAGGCCUACCAAGGCGACGAUCUGUAGCGGGUCUGAGAGGAUGGUCCGCCACACUGGGACUGAGACACGGCCCAGACUCCUACGGGAGGCAGCAGUGGGGAAUAUUGGACAAUGGGCGGAAGCCUGAUCCAGCCAUGCCGCGUGUGUGAAGAAGGCCUUAUGGUUGUAAGGCACUUUAAGCGAGGAGGAGGCUACUUUAGUUAAUACCUAGAGAUAGUGGACGUUACUCGCAGAAUAAGCACCGGCUAACUCUGUGCCAGCAGCCGCCGUAAGAC
rnacentral:rRNA from 1 species